CACGCCAGGCGGAGUGGCGUGGAAGCAGUGCUCUACCGUGCCAAAAGACCCAAACUUUCAGUAGGUUUCCCCCGGGGGUGGGGGCUUGCUGUGCCAGGCGGAGUGGCGCGGUAGCAGUGCUCUGCCACGCCAAGCGAACCCAAGUUUCAGUAGGUUUCGCCCGCCCGGGGGGCGGGGCUUGCCGUGCCACUCCGCCUGGCAUGGCAGAAGUGCUCUGCCGCGCCAACUGCACAAAAGUUUCAGUAGGUUCGGUGGUUGGGGGCUCCCACGCCUAAAACAUUAACUGUUUUCUGGACUGCUUGACUUCCGCCGAACAUUUUUUGUUCUGAUUUUUCUUAACCUAGUUUCAACCAUGAAAUUAUUCCGUAUCUCCGUCCGUACGCGGUAGCCUACCAGUACGAACAUUUACAAAA
rnacentral:lncRNA from 1 species